rnacentral:rRNA from 1 species
GACGAACGCUGGCGGCGUGCCUAAUACAUGCAAGUUGAGCGCUGAAGGUUGGUACUUGUACCAACUGGAUGAGCAGCGAACGGGUGAGUAACGCGUGGGGAAUCUGCCUUUGAGCGGGGGACAACAUUUGGAAACGAAUGCUAAUACCGCAUAAAAACUUUAAACACAAGUUUUAAGUUUGAAAGAUGCAAUUGCAUCACUCAAAGAUGAUCCCGCGUUGUAUUAGCUAGUUGGUGAGGUAAAGGCUCACCAAGGCGAUGAUACAUAGCCGACCUGAGAGGGUGAUCGGCCACACUGGGACUGAGACACGGCCCAAACGCCUACGGGAGGCAGCAGUAGGGAAUCUUCGGCCAUGGACGAAAGUCUGACCGAGCAACGCCGCGUGAGUGAAGAAGGUUUUCGGAUCGUAAAACUCUGUUGGUAGAGAAGAACGUUGGUGAGAGUGGAAAGCUCAUCAAGUGACGGUAACUACCCAGAAAGGGACGGCUAACUACGUG